rnacentral:rRNA from 1 species
AUUGAACGCUGGCGGCAGGCCUAACACAUGCAAGUCGAACGAGUGGCGGACGGGUGAGUAAUGUCUGGGAAACUGCCCGAAGGAGGGGGAUAACUACUGGAAACGGUAGCUAAUACCGCAUACCAUCGGAUGUGCCCAGAUGGGAUUAUCCAGUAGGUGGGGUAAUGGCUCACCUAGGCGACGAUCACUAGCUAGUCUGAGAGGAUGACAAGCCACACUGGAACUUAGACAAGGUCCAGCAGCCUACGGUAGGCAGCAGUGGGGAAUAUUGCACAAUGGGCGCAAGCCUGAUGCAGCCAGUCCGCGUGUAUGAAGAAGGCCUGCGGGUUGUACAGUACUUUCAGCGAGGAGGCGUUACUCGCAGAAGAAGCACCGGCUAACUCCGUGCCAGCAGCCGCGGUAAUAC